rnacentral:rRNA from 1 species
UACGUAGGGUGCGAGCGUUGUCCGGAAUUAUUGGGCGUAAAGAGCUUGUAGGCGGUUUGUCGCGUCUGCUGUGAAAAUCCGGGGCUCAACCCCGGACUUGCAGUGGGUACGGGCAGACUAGAGUGUGGUAGGGGAGACUGGAAUUCCUGGUGUAGCGGUAAAAUGCGCAGAUAUCAGGAGGAACACCGAUGGCGAAGGCAGGUCUCUGGGCCACUACUGACGCUGAGAAGCGAAAGCAUGGGGGAGCGGACAGG